AGACACACCAAUGGACUAGACCCAACCUGAUUUCAUCUUUGUCCAAUCCUAGUUCUAGUUCAUACCUAGCCAGUUUGAACCAACAGAGCAAAUACUAUAUUCGGGCCCAAUUUUUCAUGAGAGAGAAUGUGUGCUUGAAUUAGACCUAGCCCAUUAGACAUCUGUCUUAGAGGCCCAGCUUGAUAGACACCUAACCCCGCAUGGACAGAAGUCCAUGUGUAUGCAAAUAGCAUGGUUGUUUGCCCCAUGAUCCUUACAUUUUAAGUUGCAACUACAAGUUCUGGCUGUCCGCAUUUUUUGCUCUCAUAAGUGGAAGAAGUGGGAGUACUUGGAAAAGAAGUGAUAUUUGUGACCAUCAUGGACCAGAGUCCAUAUCAUUCAUGUCAUAUGAGACAAGAGGAGAGAGCACAUAAAGGAUGGGUAUGCCCUGACACUUCCAAUUAGAUUGUUAUUCAUCAUGCAAACAAAUGGUUGAUGUAAGGGUAAGGAGUAUUUCCUUUUUAAAGCAUGAUAUAGUCGUAUCAAUUACUAUCAAUUUAUAGAUGCAAUGCAUGCAAUUGAUGGGUGACAAAGGAUUGUACUCUCAUAAAUUUAGAUAAAAUGCAUUGAAAAAGAAUACAAGGGAUGAAAUAGAAUUUGGGUGAUAGCUGUUACUUAAAAAAGUGGGGAAAAUAAUUCUCUUGAUAGACGUUAUAGACAUGUAAAUGUUACGAUAACCCUUGAUCUGUUUGCCCAC
rnacentral:lncRNA from 1 species